UACGUAGGGUGCGAGCGUUAAUCGGAAUUACUGGGCGUAAAGCGUGCGCAGGCGGUUUUGUAAGCCAGAUGUGAAAGCCCCGGGCUCAACCUGGGAAUGGCAUUUGGGACUGCAAGGCUUGAGUGCGGCAGAGGAGACUGGAAUUCCUGGUGUAGCAGUGAAAUGCGUAGAUAUCGGGAGGAACACCUGAGGCGAAGGCGGGCUACUGGGCCGAUACUGACGCUGAUGCGCGAAAGCCAGGGGAGCGAACGGG
rnacentral:rRNA from 1 species